rnacentral:rRNA from 1 species
CAUACGGGAGGCUGCAGUGAGGAAUAUUGGUCAAUGGGCGGAAGCCUGAACCAGCCAAGUAGCGUGCAGGAUGACGGCCCUACGGGUUGUAAACUGCUUUUAUACGGGAAUAACGCGCCUUACGUGUAGGGCUUUGCAUGUACCGUAUGAAUAAGGACCGGCUAAUUCCGUGCCAGCAGCCGCGGUAAUACGGAAGGUCCGGGCGUUAUCCGGAUGUAUUGGGUUUAAGGGGACCGGAGGGCGCAUGUCAAGCGUGUUGUGAAAUGUCCGGGCUCAACCCGGGCCUUGCAGCGCGAACUGGCGUGCUUGAGUCCGCGGAAAGCAGGCGGAAUGCGUCGUGUAGCGGUGAAAUGCUUAGAUAUGACGAAGAACCCCGAAUGCGAAGGCAGCUUGCUGCAGCGGAACUGACGCUGAUGCUCGAAAGCGCGGGUAUCGAACAGGAUUAGAUACCCUAGUAGUC